rnacentral:rRNA from 1 species
CUAUAACUCAUCUUUUACCUGCCCUUCGGUCGGGGACAACACUUCCAACGAGGUGCUAAUACCCGAUGACACAACCGGAUCACCUGGUCCGGCUGUCAAAGCUCCGGCGCCGGAGGAUGGGCAUGCGUCUGAUUAGGUAGUUGGCGGGGUAACGGCCCACCAAGCCAACGAUCAGUAGCUGGUCUGAGAGGAUGAUCAGCCACACUGGAACUGAGACACGGUCCAGACUCCUACGGGAGGCAGCAGUGAGGAAUAUUGCUCAAUGGGCGAAAGCCUGAAGCAGCAACGCCGCGUGCGGGAUGAAGGCCUUUUCGGUCGUAAACCGCUGUAGAAGGGAAAAAAUAUGGCGCCAUGGGCGCCAUUGAUGGUACCCUUAAAGUAAGCCUCGGCUAACUACGUGCCAGCAGCCGCGGUAAUACGUAGGAGGCAAGCGUUGUCCGGAUUCACUGGGUGUAAAGGGUCCGCAGGCGGGUAAUCAAGUCGAUGGUGAAAUCCUUCCGCUCAACGGAAGAACUGCCGUCGAUACUGUUUAUCUUGAGUACAGAAGAGGGUGAUGGAAUUCCAGGUGUAGCGGUGAAAUGCGUAGAUAUCCGGAAGAACACCGGUUGCGAAGGCUGUUGCCUGGUCUGUUACUGACGCUCAUGGACGAAAGCGUGGGGAUCAAACAGGAUUAGAUACCCUGGUAGUCCACGCCGUAAACGAUGGAUACUCGAUGUCGGCCCGUAUGGGUCGGUGUCUAAGUUAACGCAGUAAGUAUCCCACCUGGGAAGUACGAUCGCAAGGUUGAAACU